rnacentral:rRNA from 1 species
UACAGAGGCCUCGAGCGUUAGGCGGAAUCACUGGGCUUAAAGCGUGUGUAGGCGGACUUCUAAGUACCUUGUGAAAUCCCACAGCUUAACUGUGGAACUGCUUGGUAUACUGGUUGUCUUGAGUCAUCUAGGGGCGAGCGGAACAAGUGGUGGAGCGGUGAAAUGCGUAGAGAUCCGAAGGAACGCCGGUGGCGAAAGCGGCGGACUGGGCACCUUCUGACGCUGAGGCGCGAAAGCCAGGGGAGCAAACGGG